rnacentral:rRNA from 1 species
CACGUAGGGGGCGAGCGUUGUCCGGAUUUAUUGGGCGUAAAGAGCUCGUAGGCGGCUAAGUAAGUCGGGUGUGAAACUCCAGGCUCAACCUGGAGACGCCACCCGAUACUGCGAUGACUAGAGUCCGGUAGGGGAGUGUGGAAUUCCUGGUGUAGCGGUGAAAUGCGCAGAUAUCAGGAGGAACACCAACGGCGAAGGCAGCACUCUGGGCCGGAACUGACGCUGAGGAGCGAAAGCGUGGGUAGCGAACAGG